UAAGGAAUAUUGGACAAUGGUCGCAAGACUGAUCCAGCCAUGCCGCGUGCAGGAAGACGGCCCUAUGGGUUGUAAACUGCUUUUGUACCAGAGAAAACCUAUCUACGUGUAGAUAGCUGAUAGUAUGGUAAGAAUAAGCAUCGGCUAACUUCGUGCCAGCAGCCGCGGUAAGACGAAGGAUGCAAGCGUUAUCCGGAUUCAUUGGGUUUAAAGGGUGCGUAGGCGGGCUUGUAAGUCAGUGGUGAAAUCUCUCAGCUUAACUGAGAAACUGCCAUUGAUACUGCAGGCCUAGAGUAUAGAUGACGUUGGCGGAAUAUGACAUGUAGUGGUGAAAUACUUAGAUAUGUCAUAGAACACCGAUUGCGAAGGCAGCUAACGAAACUAUAACUGACGCUGGGGCACGAAAGUGCGGGGAUCAAACA
rnacentral:rRNA from 1 species